CCAGCAACUUGGAGGAAUGUAUAGCAAUAGCUGAUUGCACCAACAAAUAGUUGAUGCAAUAUUGACUCUGUCAAAUAAAAUUCUAGGUAGAAUUAUGAUAAUGACAUUGUCUGCCUAUAUGUCUUGACCAAAUUACGUGCCAGCAGUCGCGGUAAUACGUAGAAGACUAGUGUUAUUCAUCUUUAAUAGGUUUAAAGGGUACCUAGACGGUAAAUCAAGCCUUCACAGGGACUAAUUUACUAGAGUUACUUACGAGGGGGUAUUAAAGUACUGCAGGUGUAGAGAUGAAAUUCUGUCAUACCUCUUUUCAAAAGAAAAAUUAUGGCACAGGUAUAGGUGAAAGCAUCCCCUUAUGUGAUAACUGACGUUGAAGGACGAAGGCUUUGUGUCGCGAACAGGAUUAGAUACCCCAGUAGUCAAAGCAGAAAAUGAUGAAUGUCAUAGAUUAGAUAAAUAGUUUAUUCUAUAAAUGAAAAUGUAAGCAUUCCACCUCAAGAGUAAUUUGGCAACAUUGGAACUGAAAUCAUUAGACCGUUUCUGAAACCAGUAGUGAAGUAUGUUGUUUAAUUUGAUGAUCCGCAAAAAACCUUACCACAAUUUGAAUAUUUAUAUCUAUCUUUUUUUUUCGUAAAAAAAUAAAAAGGUAAUAUAUUUACAAGCGUUGCACGGCUGUCUUCAGUUAAUGUCGCGAGACUUUGGUUAGUUCCAUUAAAUUAACGUAAACCCUUACUUUAUUUUUAUAUGAAGUAGUUCCCCGCUAUAUUGGAUAUGAUAACAGGGACUAAGACAAGUCAUCAUGG
rnacentral:rRNA from 1 species